GUGAACGCUGGCGGUAGGCCUAACCCCUGCCAGUCGAAUGGCAGCACAGUAAGAGCUUGCUCUUACGGGUGGCGAGUGGCGGACGGGUGAGGAAUACAUCGGAAUCUACUUUUUCGUGGGGGAUAACGUAGGGAAACUUACGCUAAUACCGCAUACGACCUACGGGUGAAAGCAGGGGAUCUUCGGACCUUGCGCGAUUGAAUGAGCCGAUGUCGGAUUAGCUAGUUGGCGGGGUAAAGGCCCACCAAGGCGACGAUCCGUAGCUGGUCUGAGAGGAUGAUCAGCCACACUGGAACUGAGACACGGUCCAGACUCCUACGGGAGGCAGCAGUGGGGAAUAUUGGACAAUGGGCGCAAGCCUGAUCCAGCCAUACCGCGUGGGUGAAGAAGGCCUUCGGGUUGUAAAGCCCUUUUGUUGGGAAAGAAAAGCAGCAGGUUAAUACCCCGCUGUUCUGACGGUACCCAAAGAAUAAGCACCGGCUAACUUCGUG
rnacentral:rRNA from 1 species